rnacentral:rRNA from 1 species
AGAGUUUGAUCCUGGCUCAGGACGAACGCUGGCGGCGUGCCUAACACAUGCAAGUCGAGCGGAGACAGUGAGUAGCUUGCUAUGAGCUGUUUUAGCGGCGGACGGGUGAGUAACGCGUGAGCAACCUUUCCCAGACAGGGGAAUAACACACCGAAAGGUGUACUAAUACCGCAUAAGACCACGGGAUCACAUGGUUCUGGGGUAAAAGAAUUAUCGGUUUGGGGUGGGCUCGCGUCCGAUUAGGUAGUUGGUGAGGUAACGGCCCACCAAGCCGACGAUCGGUAGCCGACCUGAGAGGGUGAUCGGCCACAUUGGGACUGAGACACGGCCCAAACUCCUACGGGAGGCAGCAGUGGGGAAUAUUGCACAAUGGGGGAAACCCUGAUGCAGCGACGCCGCGUGAGCGAAGAAGUAUUUCGGUAUGUAAAGCUCUAUCAGCAGGGAAGAAAAUGACGGUACCUGACUAAGAAGCCCCGGCUAACUACGUGCCAGCAGCCGCGGUAAUACGUAGGGGGCAAGCGUUGUCCGGAAUAAUUGGGCGUAAAGGGCGCGUAGGCGGCUCGGUAAGUCUGGAGUGAAAGUCCUGCUUUUAAGGUGGGAAUUGCUUUGGAUACUGUCGGGCUUGAGUGCAGGAGAGGUUAGUGGAAUUCCCAGUGUAGCGGUGAAAUGCGUAGAGAUUGGGAGGAACACCAGUGGCGAAGGCGACUAACUGGACUGUAACUGACGCUGAGGCGCGAAAGUGUGGGGAGCAAACAGGAUUAGAUACCCUGGUAGUCCACACUGUAAACGAUGAAUGCUAGGUGUAGGGGGUAUCGACCCCUUCUGUGCCGCAGUCAACACAAUAAGCAUUCCGCCUGGGGAGUACGGCCGCAAGGUUGAAACUCAAAGGAAUUGACGGGGGCCCGCACAAGCAGUGGAGUAU